ACUUAAAAAUACGCGGAUCCUCAGGUCGGGUCGGGUCGGGUCGACGCGCGGAUCUGGGGAGAAACGGCGUCGUUUUAACGCCUGGGGCUAUGGCACAAAACGGCGCCGUUUUAAAUGCUUAUAAAAUCAAAGUUUUUUUUUAACUUCAUUUUCUGCCCCCUUAAAAAAAACAGAUUCUCUCUAAAAAAAAUCCUUCUCCCCCUCUUUCUCUCCAAAACCUCCGGCCUUCAACUCCGACGAGUUCCCACCGUAGCGCCACCAUGUGCAGCGGUCGAUGGCUUAAAAUCAGACCUUUUUGGUCCCUUUUUGAAGCCUAUGGCCUCCAGGCCACAGAUCUGGGGCCGAAUCUCGUGAAACAAAGGCCGAAGACCCGAAAAUGGGGUGAAAUCGUUCGCCUUCCUUCCCCUCCGGCGCGGCACAGGUGACAGGCGGCGCAAGUGGCGUGGUCGACGUGACCGUGGGCGUUGCGGAUGGGACGUCCGGCGGCGUCAGAAUGCCUAAGGUCAAAGAGGCGGCGCCUAUCUAGGCAAAUUCUUUGGGAAAAUUGGGCCUGGGCAUUGGGCCUCGCCUUUGGGUGGCUGGGUUAGGCUAGUUGGGCUUGGUUUUGGGCCAUUUGGGUUUUGGGGUAGUGGGCUUGUAAUAGGUUUGUUAUUGGGCUGAGGGUUAGUGGGUUGUUUUAGGUGGGUUUAUUGGUUUAGGGUUAAUUGGGCCCGGGCAUAAAAAUUGGGCUUAUACAAGUAUUGCUUGUGAAUUUUAAAAUAGGGGCAUUAGUACGAACAACGAAACAUGAGUUGAGAAUAAAAGGGAUUGAAAUAAAUAUUAAGGUGAUUUAAUGGCA